rnacentral:rRNA from 1 species
UACGUAGGGGGCAAGCGUUGUCCGGAAUGAUUGGGCGUAAAGGGCGCGUAGGCGGCCCGGUAAGUCUGAAGUGAAUGUCCUGGCUUCAAGUUGGGAAUUGCUUAGGAUACUGUCGGGCUUGAGUGCAGGAGAGGUAAGUGGAAUUCCCAGUGUAGCGGUGAAAUGCGUAGAGAUUGGGAGGAGCACCAGUGACGAAGGCGACUUACUGGACUGUAACUGACGCUGAGGCGCGAAAGUGUGGGGAGCAAAC